GCGCAAAACUGCCUGAAAGCAACUACAGAAUUUCAUUCAUUUGUGCUUUUGCAUUAAACUGUGAAUGUUCCAACACCUGCCUCCACUUCUCCCCUCAAGAAAUUUUCAACGCCAGGAAUCAUGAAGAGACUUCUGCUUUUCAACCCCCACCCUCCUCAAGAAGAUGAACAGAGUUUAUGAAGGAGCAUCAUUCUAAGAAUUAAGUGAUGUAGUCUUUAUGUUUGGACAGUUCACCAGAUUCUCAAGAAGGCUUUCAAACAACUAU
rnacentral:ncRNA from 2 species